UGUUUUUCAUCUGUCUCCACACAGCUGUGUGUGUGUCUGACUAGUUGGGUGUUUCAGUGUAGUUGACUUUUUCUUUCCACCUUCUCCAUUCUAUUCCCGCCCUAUAACACCCUGAGUCCCCCCUCCACCCCUGGCAGUGUUUCUCUCUUUUCAGAUAGCACUUCUCUUUCCUCUGAGCUCUGCUGCCUCCUCUCCAGGCAGCGCCCUUGAACUUCACACAACCUAUAAGAGCAUCCCCGCUCCACACACAUCCCUCACUGAGCACAGGAUGGACCCCCUGCCUCUGCUCCUCUACCUCUGUGCAGGCCAUGGGGUCUAGUGUGGCUGUCGUGUGUUUGAAAACUGAGUCCAUGACCUGCAUUUUGGCAACCAAAGCAAGAACUUAAAGGUCAAGCGGUCAAAACCUAUUUGUACCAAACAACUUUGUUAUGUCCUUGAAAAAAAUCAAGAAUCAGCAGUGCUGGCACCGAGCCAUGGAUUCAGCGUGGACGUGGAGGGACCCAUCACCUUCCAGGAGGCAGCUGAGGGGUUUGGGCAGAGUGUGUUGCAGUUCGGGAAUGCCAGCGCUGGGG